CCCGGUUAGUACUUGGAUGGGAGACCAGUUUGGAAGACCAGG
rnacentral:rRNA from 12 species